AUGGAGAGGAAAAGAGAGAGAGAUUGGGUGGUGAUGGGACGUAAAAUAGUUUGAAUGAAUGAAUAAUGGAUUUUGAAUUGAAUGAAUGGAGAGUGGUGGUGGGGACGAAUUAUAGAGUGUGGAGAGAUUAUUUACAAUUUCACAAACAGUGGGGUCAUCUUGACGUGACAGGAUUGGAAUUACCAUUUACAUUCACUACUACUCUAACUCUACUAUUGUAUGGCCCUCUCUCUAUACUACUAUAACUCCUAUCUAUACGUCAUUUUUUUUUUGUUACAUGAUGAGAAGAAAACUAACACAUUGAUAAACAAAAGGCAAUACUAAAUAAGUACUAG
rnacentral:lncRNA from 1 species